rfam:Oryza sativa Japonica Group DNA, chromosome 7, cultivar: Nipponbare, complete sequence.
AAUAUUUGACGCCGUUGAUUUUUUUAAACAUGUUUGACCGUUCGUCUUAUUCAAAAAAUUUAAGUAAUUAUUAAUUCUUUUCCUAUCAUUUGAUUCAUUGUUAAAUAUACUUUUAUGUAUACAUAUAGUUUUACAUAUUUCAUAAAAUUUUUUGAAUAAGAUGAACGGUCAAACAUGUUUAAAAAAAGUCAACGGCGUCAAACAUU